rnacentral:lncRNA from 1 species
AAAGCAUUGAUAUUUGGAGGAGAAAUCAACACUUUUUUAAAUGCAAAAUAUAAAUUGUUUAAUGGUACAAAUAUUAAGUGUAGAAACGGACAUGUACUUUUGUUUUCAUAAAAAGUGAGAUAUAUACGUAAACUGUAAAAGAUGUCAAUAAGUUUUUUAACUUCAACACUUGCACAUAUCAUGUCCAAAAUGUAGUGAAUUUAGCAAAAAAAUGCUGCUGAUGUUGCUUCUGUUUGAAACAGACAAACUUUUAGUUAACCAAACCACUAUUAAGCACUAUAUGAAAGAUUUGAAGAUUUAUAAAGCUUAAAAUACUGCGGGCUGAGUGGUCAAACCUUGAAAAAUCAGCAGAGUGAAAAGGUCUGUGAAGAAUAAAGAUGUGAAGACAAUGUGUUUCCUUAUUCUGUUAAUUAAUAAGGCGGAUAUUUGAACAUCAUUAGCAUCAAAAAAACUCAGGUGCAACUGCUAGGGACUGUUUCUAGCAUGUUUCUAGCAUCUAAACUAAAAGAAACUAUAUCUAGUACUGCAUAAAAAUUUGUUAUAUACAAUGACAAUUCUAUCACAGAGGAACUUUUGACUUCCAAUUCAGCAUUUUAAAUUCACCUUCUAUGAUUGCUGCUGCCGCAAUAUAUGCUGCAUGUAAAAGUCUGUCUUAUGAGCUUGGUCCCUCAUUACAAAAUCUGAAUUAGUUCAUUGGUUAAGAAAAAUAACUGGAGUAGAGGAGGAUUGUUUGGUAGAAUCUCUAAAAAGAUUGAUUUAUGUUUUGCGUACAAGUCUGUUAAAGGUUUGUGAAGAGCAACGAUGUGAAGACACUGUAUUUCCUCUCUUCCUUUAAUUUGUGAGAUUUGGUUUAUAUUCGAACCUAAAAGAUCAAACAGACUCUAAUCAAGUACUAAAAUGGGAUUAUGUUUUUGUAAUUAUCAUCGGUUUAUUUCCUGUUGGUAUCUUUUUUAAAUCAACCUUAAUUCAAAGUUGUAAUUCAGUACCAAAUAAUUAUGCCAUAUUUAAUACAUCUUCAACAGUAUAUAACCAGUUGAUUCUCAACAACAGUUUGAGAUAAUAUCCUUUUAAUUGUCCAAAUCAAGGAAAUCGUGAGCUUCAUCUUCCGCCUUCGUAUUCAGGUAGUUUACAGCUAUUGCCAUA